rnacentral:rRNA from 1 species
AGUGAACGCUGGCGGUAGGCCUAACACAUGCAAGUCGAACGGCAGCACAGUAAGAGCUUGCUCUUACGGGUGGCGAGUGGCGGACGGGUGAGGAAUACAUCGGAAUCUACUUUUUCGUGGGGGGUAACGUAGGGAAACUUACGCUAAUACCGCAUACGACCUACGGGUGAAAGCAGGGGAUCUUCGGACCUUGCGCGAUUGAAUGAGCCGAUGUCGGAUUAGCUAGUUGGCGGGGUAAAGGCCCAGCAAGGCGACGAUCCGUAGCUGGUCUGAGAGGAUGCUCAGCCACACUGGAAGUGAGACACGGCCCAGACUCCUACGGGAGGCAGCAGGGGGGAAUAUUGGAAAAUGGGCGAAAGCCUGCUCCAGCCAUACCGCGUGGGUGAAGAAGGCCUUCGGGUUGUAAAGCCCUUUUGUUGGGAAAGAAAAGCAGCAGGUUAAUACCCCGCUGUUCUGACGGUACCCAAAGAAUAAGCACCGGCUAACUUCGU